GUUAAUCUUUCAUCGCAUGCCAUAAAAAUAUCAAAGGCUCUCAAAUAUACGCAGAUAGAUAACACGAUGGACGCUCCCAGAGGAAAUAUGCGUCUGCAUAUUUGCUUCCAAAUAUGGGGCAAACUUCUGACAUGGAAGAGCACCUUGGGAAGAGCAAGGCAGACUGUGCGAACAUCUAAUGAGGAUGACAUGUCUUUGUUCCUGCUCAGAAGCCCUCAUUAGGGAUGUAGACUAGGAAGAAUGCAGCAGGGGAGGCAGGGAGCAGCUGGCAGUCUAUGGCACCAUCUGACCCUUAUUGGGCACCGUUUACAAGCAGCAGGAAGGAAUGAAUAAGACCACCAGUAAAGCUGGACAGAUCAACACUGACUGACUGACUGAAAAAUAUUAUUCUACGCUUCAAAUGCUAUGAAGCUGGGCCAACGGAAAAUGAUGAAGGACAUAAAUUGAGGGGUUUUCCACAGCACAGGAGAGAGAGAGAGAUAAAGCAAGAGAAAUAUACUGGGAAAAACAGUAAUUGGUUCCUUUUGAGAGGUCAGAGGUCAGACUUAUAACAGCUUGAGGCACUUGCAUCAACCCAACUGCAAAGCAUUCAAAUGAAAAAUAAAAUAAUUUGUGUGCCUAUAACAGUAGGAUUGAAUGCCUAUUGUCUGUAUAAUUUAAAUAAGUAACAUGUACAAAAUACACAGCAUUACAACUCACUCAAGUCUACAAAAAUGGCAAUAAAAACUGAUUCAACGCAUAUGCUGAGCCUGAUACAGAACCGCAAUACACUCAAUACAACCAACCCAUCUGGGCAUUGCUUUGUGAUGGUGUCUUAGCUAGUAAAAACGAGCUCUGAUAUAAACCAAUAAACACUUAAAUCAGAUCACAUGCAGAACAACAUCUGAGGUGACAUAAACUGAUCCAACACAAUAACUGAAUCACUAGUGCUGCCCCCUGGUGGCUGAAACAAAAAAUUCAUGUAUACAGCUGCAGUUCUCUUGAUAUGCAAAAUUAUGUAUCACUACAGAAAAUGUCGCAAUCAUGUGUUUGUUAUAAAGUUAUACACCAGAGUCUUAAGAGGCUGUGGUUGUAUGGGGUGGAUGUAGGUAGUAAUUAUACUAGUUUCCUGUUCAAGUUAAAGACCUAUGACAUUUCAAAGCCUGACCCCUUAAGUAACCCACCAGAGAAUAAGGUUGCGUGACGAGAUGUUGGGUCACUACAGCAUACUGAGAAAAGGAAAUGCAUAUUUGGUAAGCAUGUGGUCUUACAUGAGACCUUGCAAUUUUUUGUAAACUUUAGACCAGUGUUUC